rnacentral:rRNA from 1 species
CACCCUACGGGGCGCAGCAGUGAGGAAUAUUGGUCAAUGGACGAGAGUCUGAACCAGCCAAGUAGCGUGAAGGACGACUGCCCUACGGGUUGUAAACUUCUUUUAUAUGGGAAUAAAGUGUUCCACGUGUGGGAUUUUGUAUGUACCAUAUGAAUAAGGAUCGGCUAACUCCGUGCCAGCAGCCGCGGUAAUACGGAGGAUCCGAGCGUUAUCCGGAUUUAUUGGGUUUAAAGGGAGCGUAGGUGGAUUGUUAAGUCAGUUGUGAAAGUUUGCGGCUCAACCGUAAAAUUGCAGUUGAAACUGGC